AAUGUUAUGGUCUGGAGCCUUCUGAUAGUAUUAAAUAAAUUACGCUUUUAAAAAUGUCGUCGAACAAUGUAUAAUCAAGUUUAGAGUGUUUAAUGAAGGAAAUUUGAAAAAAAGAAACUCAAUAUUAUAUAAUUCUACUACUAAUAUGGUAAUAAUCAUAUUCCGAAAAGACUUAAAACGCAAUGAUCGUCAAACCUCUAUAUUAUUGUCAAUAUAAUAUUUUCCGUCCAUACGCGUGUUUACGGAUCUAUCGAUCAAUCUUUCGCAGAGUUUUCCGAUAAUAUGACACUAGUGAAAAAUGAAAAUAGUAAAAUAUUUAUCCCCGCUUAACGCUGAGGAAUCGAGUAUUUCGGAUUAAACAUUCACAGACGUCUUUAUAAUAGCUUGAAGGUCGAUCUAGCAACAUAAUCAUCAAUCGCGCGAGCACGACGUGAACACUGCCGAUCUGAUCUAUAUGUUUGACACAGGUAAUUAAAACUGCAUAACUAAAAUGUUUCAAGAUUGCAUUUUGGCCGGACUACGAUUU